rnacentral:sRNA from 2 species
CCAGCCGAUUGCCUAACUCUGCCGCGGCCCGGGGAUAACUAGAAGCAACGUCCGGCAGAGACGGGGAAACCACAUUUGACCCGCUGUUCUCCAGGGGUCUUGGGGUGAAGCCGCACGGCCCGUCAUGAUCGGGCCCGAGUGCGGCCGGGUGCCUCCCAUCCGAAUCCGACAGCUCACCUCGCAGGCAUUGGGAGAGGCUCC